UUUUGAGAUCUUUGAUUUCUUUCUUCAGA
rnacentral:piRNA from 1 species